rnacentral:rRNA from 1 species
AACGAACGCUGGCGGCAUGCCUAACACAUGCAAGUCGAACGAAACCUUCGGGUCUAGUGGCGCACGGGGGCGUAACGCGUGGGAACCUGCCCUUAGGUUCGGCAUAACUCCCCGAAAGGGGUGCUAAUACCGGAUAAUAUCUUCUGACCAACGAUUUAUCGCCUUUGGAUGUUCCAUCGUUGGAUUAGCUAGUUGGUAUGGUAAUAGCCUACCAAGGGGACGAUUCGUAGCUGGUCUGAGAGGAAGAUCAGCGACACUGGGAAUGAGACACGGCCCAGACUCCUACGGGAGGCAGCAGUGGGGAAUAGUGGAAAAUGGGCGAAAGGAUGAUCCAGCUAGGCCGCGUGAGUGCUGAAGGCCUUAGGGUUGUAAAGCUCUUUUAACCGGGCUGAUAAUGACGGUACCGGGAGAAUAAGCCCCGGCUAACUACGUG